rnacentral:rRNA from 1 species
UGGGGAAUAUUGCGCAAUGGGGGAAACCCUGACGCAGCAACGCCGCGUGAGUGAGGAAGGACUUCGGUCUGUAAAGCUCUGUUAAUGUGGAAAAAUGGUAGUUGGUCUAAUAGGCCGAUUAUUUGAUGGUACACAUAGAGGAAGCACCGGCUAACUUCGUGCCAGCAGCCGCGGUAAUACGAAGGGUGCAAGCGUUGUUCGGAUUUAUUGGGCGUAAAGCGCGCGUAGGCGGACCUGCAAGUCAGAUGUGAAAUCUCGGGGCUCAACCUCGAAACUGCGUCUGAAACUACAGGUCUAGAAUCUUGGAGGGGGAAGGGGAAUUUCGCAUGUAGGGGUAAAAUCCGUAGAUAUGCGAAGGAACACCAGAGGCGAAGGCGCCUUCCUGGACAAGUAUUGACGCUGAGGCGCGAAAGCGUGGGGAUCAAACAGG